ACCCUUUAGGGUGUCCCACGGAUGUCCCAAAGCCACCUCAGGUUGUCACCUCCAGGGUGUCCCAUGAAUGUCCCACAGCCACCCCAAGGUGUCCCAAAGCCACCCAUGGGUGUCUCAUGAAUGUCCCAAAGCCACCCCUGGGUGUCCCAUAAAUGUCCCAAGAUGUCCCCUGGAUGUCCCAAAGCCACCCCAAGGUGUCCCCUCUAGGAUGUCCCAAAGCCACCCAAGGAUGUCCCAGAGAUGUCCCAAGGCCACCCCAGAGUGUCCCAGGAUGUCCCAAGAUGUCCCAAAGCCACCAGGACCCUCCAGCUCCCCCCAUCCCCUCCCCCAUCACUCCAGGCUCCUCCAUCCCCCUCCCCCAUCUCCUCCCCAGGAUUGUCCCAGGUUCUCCCCAGGUUGUCCCUGGAGAAGAGGAAGAAUCUGUGGUGGCCACAUCUCAGGGGGGUUUGGAGAAGACAAUGGAGCGGUGACCAAGGGGAUCCAGACGUGGUUCUGGAGUCUCCAGGGGUUGGGGGACAAUGGGACACCAGAACGGUUCUUCUGGGGGGAGGGGAAGGGUGUGAAUUUGUGGUGGCCACAUCUCAGGGGGGUUUGUGGAGAACCAUGGGGACACUCUGGAACAGAUCCAGGUGCAGUUAUGGAGUCUCUGGGGUGGGAGGGACCCAUGGAGACCUCAAAAGUUCUUCUGGGCUGAGGGAAAGGGCGGGAAUUGGUGGUGGCCACAUCUCAGGGGGGUUUGUGGAGAACCAUGGGGACACUCUGGAACAGCUCCUGAUGUCAUUAUGGGGUCUCUGGGGGGUGAGGAACCCAUGGACACCUCCAAACCUUCUGUAGGAUGUCAGGGAAGGGAGGAAUUUGUGGUGGCCACAUCUCAGGGGGGUUUGGAGGAACCAAUGCGGGACCUUCUGGAAGGAAUCUUGACGUGGUUCUGAGGUCUCUGGGGGCUCACAAACCCACGGAGACCCCAAAACUUCUCCCAGCAUUGUCCUGAGGUUCUCCCAGGUUGUCCCCAGGUUCUCCCAGGUUCUCCCAGGUUGUCCCCAGGUUCUCCCAGGUUCUCAGAUGCAGUUAUGGCGUCUCUGGGGGGUGAGGAACCCAUGGACACCUCAAAAGUUCUUCUGGGCUGAUAGGAAGGGGAGGAAUUUUUGGUGGCCACAUCUCAGGGGGGUUUGUGGAGAACCAUAGGGACACUGUGGAACAGCUCCUGAUGUCAUUAUGGAGUCUCUGGGGUGUGAGGAACCCAUGGACACCUCAAAAGUUCUGGUGGGAUGUCAAGGACACGGGAAAUUUGUGGUGGCCACAUCUCAGGGGGGUUUGGAGGAACCAAUGCGGGACCUUCUGGAAGGAAUCUUGACGUGAUUCUGGGGUCUCUGGGGGCUCACAAACCCACGGAGACCCCAAAACUUCUCCCAGCAUUGUCCUGAGGUUCUCCCAGGUUCUCCCCAGGCUCUCCCAGGAUUGUCCCCAGGUUGUCCCAGGUUCUCAGAUGCAGUUAUGGAGUCUCUGGGGGGUCCCAAACCCAUGGAGACCUCAAAAGUUCUUCUGGGGGGAGGGGAAGGGUGAGAAUUUGUGGUGGCCACAUCUCAAGGGGGUUUGUGGAGAACCAUGGGGACACUGUAGAAGGGAUCCAGAUGCAGUUAUGGGGUCUCUGGGGUGGGAGGAACCCACGGAGACCCCAAAACUUCUCCCAGCAUUGUCCUGAGGUUCUCCCAGGAUUGUCCCCAGGUCCU
ensembl:lncRNA